UACGUAGGGAGCGAGCGUUGUCCGGAUUUACUGGGUGUAAAGGGUGCGUAGGCGGCAAUGCAAGUCAGGCGUGAAAGCUCGGGGCUUAACCCCGAAACUGCGUUUGAAACUGUGUUGCUUGAGUGAAGUAGAGGUAGGCGGAAUUCCCGGUGUAGCGGUGAAAUGCGUAGAGAUCGGGAGGAACACCAGUGGCGAAGGCGGCCUACUGGGCUUUAACUGACGCUGAGGCACGAAAGCAUGGGUAGCAAACAGG
rnacentral:rRNA from 1 species